UCGGGGUAGCAAUAUUCCGGAGUCGGAGCGGCGCAAGGGUGCGUAACACGUGGGUAAUCUGCCAUGAAGUCUGGAAUAACUUGCUGAAAGGCGAGCUAAUACCGGAUGUGACCAUUGGGAGGCAUCUCCUGAUGUUUAAAGUUGGGGACCGUAAGGCCUGACGCUUCUUGAUGAACCCGCGGCCUAUCAGCUAGUUGGUGAGGUAACGGCCCACCAAGGCUAAGACGGGUAGCUGGUCUGAGAGGACGACCAGCCACACUGGAACUGAGACACGGUCCAGACACCUACGGGUGGCAGCAGUCGAGAAUUUUUCACAAUGGGCGCAAGCCUGAUGGAGCGACGCCGCGUGGGGGAUGAAUGGCUUCGGCCCGUAAACCCCUGUCAUUCGCGAUCAAACCUUGUUAUUUAAAAGAUGACGAGCUGAUAGUAGCGGAAGAGGAAGGGACGGCUAACUCUGUGCCAGCAGCCGCGGUAAUACAGAGGUCCCAAGCGUUGUUCGGAUUCACUGGGCGUAAAGGGUGCGUAGGUGGUGAGGUAAGUCGGAUGUGAAAUCUCGGAGCUCAACUCCGAAAUGGCAUUGGAAACUACCUUGCUCGAGGAAUGGAGGGGGACUGGAAUUCCGG
rnacentral:rRNA from 1 species